CGUAUCACUUAAAGCGAUUCAGCGGGUUACGAUUGACGGAGCGAAGCGACGUCAAAGCGUAUACAAAGUCGAGUCGGUUUAAGGAUACGUUCGUUGGGUAGGGGAGCGUUCUGUAAGCCUGUGAAGGUGGCCUGUGAGGGUUGCUGGAGGUAUCAGAAGUGCGAAUGCUGACAUAAGUAACGAUAAAGCGGGUGAAAAGCCCGCUCGCCGGAAGACCAAGGGUUCCUGUCCAACGUUAAUCGGGGCAGGGUGAGUCGACCCCUAAGGCGAGGCCGAAAGGCGUAGUCGAUGGGAAACGGGUUAAUAUUCCCGUACUUGGUGUUACUGCGAAGGGGGGACGGAGAAGGCUAUGUUGGCCGGGCGACGGUUGUCCCGGUUUAAGCGUGUAGGUGUGUGUUCCAGGUAAAUCCGGUUCACUUUAACACUGAGGCGUGACGACGAGGCACUACGGUGCUGAAGCAACAAAUGCCCUGCUUCCAGGAAAAGCCUCUAAGCAUCAGGUAACAUCAAAUCGUACCCCAAACCGACACAGGUGGUCAGGUAGAGAAUACCAAGGCGCUUGAGAGAACUCGGGUGAAGGAACUAGGCAAAAUGGUGCCGUAACUUCGGGAGAAGGCACGCUGACACGUAGGUGAAGUGAUUUACUCAUGGAGCUGAAGUCAGUCGAAGAUACCAGCUGGCUGCAACUGUUUAUUAAAAACACAGCACUGUGCAAACACGAAAGUGGACGUAUACGGUGUGACGCCUGCCCGGUGCCGGAAGGUUAAUUGAUGGGGUCAGCGCAAGCGAAGCUCCUGAUCGAAGCCCCGGUAAACGGCGGCCGUAACUAUAACGGUCCUAAGGUAGCGAAAUUCCUUGUCGGGUAAGUUCCGACCUGCACGAAUGGCGUAAUGAUGGCCAGGCUGUCUCCACCCGAGACUCAGUGAAAUUGAACUCGCUGUGAAGAUGCAGUGUACCCGCGGCAAGACGGAAAGACCCCGUGAACCUUUACUAUAGCUUGACACUGAACAUUGAGCCUUGAUGUGUAGGAUAGGUGGGAGGCUUUGAAGUGUGGACGCCAGUCUGCAUGGAGCCGACCUUGAAAUACCACCCUUUAAUGUUUGAUGUUCUAACGUGGACCCGUAAUCCGGGUUGCGGACAGUGUCUGGUGGGUAGUUUGACUGGGGCGGUCUCCUCCUAAAGAGUAACGGAGGAGCACGAAGGUUGGCUAAUCCUGGUCGGACAUCAGGAGGUUAGUGCAAUGGCAUAAGCCAGCUUGACUGCGAGCGUGACGGCGCGAGCAGGUGCGAAAGCAGGUCAUAGUGAUCCGGUGGUUCUGAAUGGAAGGGCCAUCGCUCAACGGAUAAAAGGUACUCCGGGGAUAACAGGCUGAUACCGCCCAAGAGUUCAUAUCGACGGCGGUGUUUGGCACCUCGAUGUCGGCUCAUCACAUCCUGGGGCUGAAGUAGGUCCCAAGGGUAUGGCUGUUCGCCAUUUAAAGUGGUACGCGAGCUGGGUUUAGAACGUCGUGAGACAGUUCGGUCCCUAUCUGCCGUGGGCGCUGGAGAACUGAGGGGGGCUGCUCCUAGUACGAGAGGACCGGAGUGGACGCAUCACUGGUGUUCGGGUUGUCAUGCCAAUGGCACUGCCCGGUAGCUAAAUGCGGAAGAGAUAAGUGCUGAAAGCAUCUAAGCACGAAACUUGCCCCGA
rnacentral:rRNA from 1 species